rnacentral:rRNA from 1 species
GAUGAACGCUGGCGGCGUGCCUAAUACAUGCAAGUCGAGCGAACAGACGAGGAGCUUGCUCCUCUGACGUUAGCGGCGGACGGGUGAGUAACACGUGGAUAACCUACCUAUAAGACUGGGAUAACUUCGGGAAACCGGAGCUAAUACCGGACAAUAUAUUGAACCGCAUGGUUCAAUAGUGAAAGACGGUUUUGCUGUCACUUAUAGAUGGAUCCGCGCCGCAUUAGCUAGUUGGUAAGGUAACGGCUUACCAAGGCAACGAUGCGUAGCCGACCUGAGAGGGUGAUCGGCCACACUGGAACUGAGACACGGUCCAGACUCCUACGGGAGGCAGCAGUAGGGAAUCUUCCGCAAUGGGCGAAAGCCUGACGGAGCAACGCCGCGUGAGUGAUGAAGGUCUGCGGAUCGUAAAACUCUGUUAUUAGGGAAGAACAAAUGUGUAAGUAACUAUGCACGUCUUGACGGUACCUAAGCAGAAAGCCACGGCUAACUACGU